AACGUCAAAUCCCUUCAGCACCUUUGCCGCUUUCGGAUCCGGCAGCUGGUCCGGAUCGACCACAUUCCCGAGCUCCCGCUGCCCAAGCCCCUGAUCUCCUACAUCCGCAAGUUCUACUACUACGACCCCCAGGAGGAGGUUUACCUGUCCCUGAAGGAGGCCCAGCUCAUCUCCAGACAGACCCAGGAGCCGGAAUCCUCCACGUAGCGGAGCCGCCUCGCCCGUGCUCCCGGCACUGAUGGAAUUUGGUUGUUGCCAUCCCGCAGCCCGAGCCAGGCCGUGGUGGGAAGGAGCCCCCCACACUCCCCUGCUGCUGCUCCUGCUCUUCAGCCCUUUUGUACAGAGAAGAGGGGGCCAAGAUUCCCGAGGAGCCCAGCAGAGCAGGAAUCCAGAGCCUUGGCUCCUGGGAAAAGGCGUCUCGGAGGCGGCCGAGCCUCCCGGCAGGACAAGGAAUGUCACGGCACUAUUUACAAAGUUUGGGGAAAGUUUUAUUUUUUUUUUUUUUUUUUCAGUUUUUUGUUUUCAAAAAGCAUGAGAAAGUGACCGCGUGGGGACGACCCUGCCUUGGAAAACUGGGAGGUGGGGAAGGAGGUGGAGGGAGGAGGGGACACUCUCUGGGAAGAUCCGUCCCUUGAUCCCCACGGAGAGGGGAGGAUGCAGCUUGGGGAGCUGCUGGAGGCAAACUGAGCCAGGAGGAUCGGCAGCUCCGUGGAAUAACCUCUGGGAAUAACCUUGGGGCUCCCCAGGAUCCGGGAGGAGGGAGCCAAACCCAGCCUUGGGAAGCUGAGCUUUGCAGCUGGAUUUGCAGGAUGGUCCCACGGGACGUUGGACCCGGGGAAGGAGGAGUGUUUGAGCCGUUGGAAUGUCCUGGAUCCCGAGGGGAUGGUUGGUGCUGCUCCUCUGAGGAAGGGCCAUUCCCUGAGAAAACACUGGAAGGUCCCCCCUGAGCCCCCCGGGAAGUGGAAGGAAGGUGGAGAAGCUGGAACUGUCGGAGCUGCCUGUGGAGCAAAGGUACUUCCUGCAGAGCCAUGGGAUGUGCACUUCCAGCCCCUCUCUGGCUGAUUCCAGAAGCUGGGAAUGAAGUGGCUUCCUUUGGAGCUGCGAAGGAUCCUGAGGAGGAGCUGCUGGGGGUGACUGGGAGCAAGGAGCAGCUCCCUGAGGGUUCUCUGGGACAGCAUCUGCCCUCUGGGAGCUCCUUCCCUCCCUGGGACAUCCAUGGAUCCACAGCAAAGCUGGGAGAGGUGGUGGCUCUUGCACAAAUAACACCCCCCCCCCUUCAAAUCCUGGUCUGCUGCUUCAUCCCCUGCAGCCACUGAGCAGGAACUUCGUGGAUGUUGGAGCUCCGAGCGAUGCUGGGAAUUCUGGAGAAGCCUCUUCAUCCCUGUACUUAAAGGAGCGAGUUCCUGCACUCUAAAUUCAAGGGAUUGCUCCAUCCUGUGGGGCCUGUGGAUCAGGAUGGGUGCCCUGUGAGUGCCCUGUGAGCUGCCAGGACCUUGGGCUCUCCCUGCAGGACGAUCCCUGUCCUUGAAUUCCACGAGGCCACGUUGGAUUUUAAGGCAGCCCGGAAAAAUCCCGCCGGCCCCCAAAGGUGCUACAGAUCCUGCCCUCCCUGUCCUGCCCGUCCCCUCCUGGAUCCUGGGAGGGCUCACGUGCUCUGGAAAGAAAGGAUUUGGCUUCCAGAUCCACAGAAAUACCUCAUGGGACGCUGCUCCAUCCCGGCUGUGGGAGGGGAAGAGCUUCCCAAGAGCCAGGCUUGGGAAUGGAGGGUCCAGCUCCAUGGCCAGGCUUCUCCCCAGGAAGAGACCCCUGGGAGCAGGAUCCGUGGCAUGGCUGGGGUGUGUGGACCAGGGAGGGAUGGUGGGAUGCAGGGAACAGGGAAGCUGGAGAAGCUCCCGCUCCCCCCAGUGUGUCAGUGACAACAUUCCCACUCCUUCCUUCCCUGUCCCGGGAUGGAGAGGUGCAGGCUGGGUUUGGGAAGGGGGAAGGAGCCGACCUGGAGGGCAGAGCAGGGAAGGGUGGUGCUGGGUGGGCACUGGGAGGGGGUGCUGGGCUUGUUCUGGGGUGAAAACGCACAACCCUGGUGGGUCAGGAGAGAUUUCCUGCAGUGCCCCAUCCUGCAUCCCACUCCAUCCUGCAUCCCACCCCAUCCCUGCAUCCCACCCCAUCCUGCAUCC